rnacentral:rRNA from 1 species
AUGUGGGAGGCAGUCCAGGACAGCAACGUCGACCACCUAGAGGAUCGACGGGCACUGGACGCCCUCAUCGCCGCAGUCCCGCCCAAGAUGCAGUUCUUGCUUUCCAACAAGCGGACUGCCAAGGAGGCUUGGGACGCCAUCGCCGCAGCACGCAUCGGCAGCGACCGUGCUCGCAAGUCCACCCUGCAGGCACUUCGUAAGGAGUGGGAGAACCUGGGCUUCAAGCCAGGUGAGGACGUUGAUGACUUUGCUCUCCGUCUCAACACUCUGCUGCAGAAGAUGGUGAAGUUUGGCGAUGCCACCUACACCGAGGAGAGAGCUGUUGAGAAGCUUUUUCGGUGCAUUCCCGAGAAGUACAAGCAGAUGGCUCGCUCGAUCGAGUCGUUGCUGGACCUCUCCACGAUGACGAUCGAGGAGGCGAUAGGUCGACUCAAGGUCGUCGACACCGACGAGCCACAGCCCCCCUCGGGGCCCGUCACCACCGGCGGGAAGCUGCUCCUAACUCGGGAGCAGUGGGAUCCCAGCCUUGGUGACAGGAAGAAGGGGGAGCCUUCCUCCUCGACGGGCGGCCGCAAGCGUGGCAAGCAGCGUAAGGCGCGAAGAGGCCCCCCGGGCAGGGCACAAGGACGUGCCGAAGGUGACGCCCGCGGAGGCGCCAAGGACGGCGCCGCUGGCAAGCCCAAGCCGGCACAAGACAACAGUUGCCACAACUGUGGCCGGUUUGGCCAUUGGGCCAAUGAGUGUCGGCAACCACGACAAGGCCAGGCUCACGUCGCACAGGCGAAGGAGGAGGAGAUGGCUCUGUUCAUGGCGCAUGCAAGCAUUGAGCUACCCUCGGCGACUCCAGUCGCAAAGGCUUUCAUCCACCUCGAUGAGCCAAAAGCACACGCUCUUCUCGGCGAUGGCUCCAGGAAGGACAAGGCUACGGGGUGGUGCCUCGACACCGGCGCCACCCACCACAUGACCGGUCGAAGGGAAUUCUUCGCCGAGCUCGACUCCGAUGCGCGAGGCUCCGUCAAGUUCGGGGAUGCCUCCGCUGUGGAGAUAAAGGGCGUCGGCUCCGUCAUCUUCACCACCAAGAUGGGAGAGCACCGGCUGCUCACCGGUGUCUACUACAUCCCCGCGCUAAGGAAUUCCAUCAUCAGCUUGGGACAGCUGGAUGAGAACGGCUCACGCGUGCUGAUUGAGCAUGGGUCCUACGCAGCUGGGAUCGCCAGCGUCGCCUUCUCGCCAAGGUGCCCAGAGGUGAAAAUCGACUCUACGUCCUUGAUGUGCAGGUGGCACAACCGGUCUGUCUCGCUGUCCGUCGAGACGACGAGGCGUGGCAGUGGCAUGAGCGCUUUGGGCACCUUCACUUUGAGGCCCUGA